GCUGGCGGCGUGCCUCAGACAUGCAAGUCGAACGCGAAAGUUUCCUUCGGGAGACAAGUAGAGUGGCGCACGGGUGAGUAACACGUAGGUAAUCUACCUUCGGAUGGGGAAUAACAGUCGGAAACGGCUGCUAAUACCGCAUAAUGCAGCGGCACCUAAUGGUGACAGUUGUUAAAGCGGGGGAUCGAAAGACCUCGCGUCUGAAGAGGAGCCUGCGGCGGAUUAGCUAGUUGGUAAGGUAACGGCUUACCAAGGCAACGAUCCGUAGCCGGCCUGAGAGGGCGGUCGGCCACACUGACACUGACAUACGGGUCAGACUCCUACGGGAGGCAGCAGUCGGGAAUUUUGGGCAAUGGGCGAAAGCCUGACCCAGCAACGCCGCGUGAAGGAUGAAAUCCCUCGGGAUGUAAACUUCGCAAGAACGGGAAGAAUAAGCGAGAGUUAAUAUCUUUCGUGAUGACGGUACCGUUUGUAAGCUCCGGCUAACUCCGUGCCAGCAGCCGCGGUAAUACGGGGGGAGCAAGCGUUGUUCGGAUUUACUGGGCGUAAAGGGCGCGUAGGCGGCCAGCGCAAGUCAGUUGUGAAAUCUCCGAGCUUAACUCGGAAAGGUCAACUGAUACUGCGCGGCUAGAGUGCAGAAGGGGCAACUGGAAUUCUCGGUGUAGCGGUGAAAUGCGUAGAUAUCGAGAGGAACACCUGCGGCGAAGGCGGGUUGCUGGGCUGACACUGACGCUGAGGCGCGAAAGCCAG
rnacentral:rRNA from 1 species